rnacentral:rRNA from 1 species
GACAGAGGGUGCGACCGUUGUUCGGAAUUACUGGGCGUAAAGCGCGUGUAGGCGGCAGCGCAAGUCGGGCGUGAAAUCCCACGGCUCAACCGUGGAAGUGCACUCGAAACUGCGCAGCUAGAGUCCUGGAGAGGAAGGUGGAAUGCUUGGUGUAGAGGUGAAAUGCGUAGAGAUCGGGAGGAACACCAGUGGCGAAGGCGGCUUGCUGGGCCGGACCUGACGCUGAGACGCGAAGGCGUGGGGAGCGAACGGG